UGUCCAAAUCUUCAGUACCUACGCGUUGCAAAAGCGACGCGCUAAGCAUAAAGCUUAGUGGUGCCAAUAAUACAAGAAAAUAUAAUAUGCAAAUAAAAAUAAUAAUUUCCUAGCUAUUGUGUUCACAAGAAAUGAAUAAUUACUAACUUAUUGUUUAGUCGAAGAACAUCUUAUGAUAUUAAAUCUUUCUAGCAUUUUAUUAAUCAUUUUCUUGAUGAUUUUGAACCUUUUUUUAUUGUAAUCAUUCUUGUUCUUUAUCUUGAUAUUUAAUUUCCUUACUUCCUUUAAUAAUCAAUUCAAUUACAUUUAUACUUUUCCAUGCCCAAAUAACCUAUACAAAAUGACCGGACUGAAUAAAUGGGUAAAUUAGCGCUGGGUAUCAGGUACCUAGGGCCGUCAUACUAUCGGUCACAAUGUGUCUCUCGGUGUGUAGACAGAAUGGCUAAUAAACCAUAAAAGUAAUAAGACAUAAAGCCAAGUAUAACAUCAUA
rnacentral:misc_RNA from 1 species